GGUGCGGUGCCAGAGUGGUUAAUGGGUAAGACUUGAAUUGCUUCUAAUUCAGCUAUCUUAUGGCUUCGGCCGCGCAGGUUCGAUCCCUGUCCGCACCG